CUACGGGUCGCUGCAGUAAGGAAUAUUGCGCAAUGGAGGCAACUCUGACGCAGCCAUGCCGCGUGCAGGAAGAAGGCCUUAUGGGUCGUAAACUGCUUUUAUUUAGGAAUAAACCCCCGAACGUGUUCGGGGCUGAAGGUACUAAACGAAUAAGCACCGGCUAACUCCGUGCCAGCAGCCGCGGUAAUACGGAGGGUGCAAGCGUUAUCAGGAUUUAUUGGGUUUAAAGGGUGCGCAGGCGGGCUAUUAAGUCAGUGGUGAAAUCCCGGGGCUCAACUCCGGAACUGCCAUUGAUACUGAUGGUCUUGAGUUUGGUUGAAGUGGGCGGAAUGUAGCAUGUAGCGGUGACAUGCAUAGAUAUGCUACAGAACACCAAUCGCGAAGGCAGCUCACUAAGCCAAAACUGACGCUCAUGCACGAAAGCGUGGGGAUCAAACAGGAUUAGAUACCCCAGUAGUC
rnacentral:rRNA from 1 species